UACGGAGGGUUCAAGCGUUAAUCGGAAUUACUGGGCGUAAAGCGUGCGCAGGCGGUUUGUUAAGUCCGCUGUGAAAUCCCCGAGCUCAACUUGGGAAUUGCAGUGGAUACUGGCAAGCUGGAGUAUGGUAGAGGAAGGUGGAAUUCCCGGUGUAGCAGUGAAAUGCGUAGAGAUCGGGAGGAACACCAGUGGCGAAGGCGGCCUUCUGGACCAAUACUGACGCUCAUGCACGAAAGCGUGGGGAGCAGACAGG
rnacentral:rRNA from 1 species